UGCUUUGCGCAGUAACAAUAUCGUAACCAAUAAGGUUUAGCCAAGGUGCGAUUAUUGUUAGUUGAAAAUUUCUUCCAAUAACGAGCCCCGACGACUUUAAAUGUAAUGGAGUGUGGUAAAUUUUUGUUAGCUCAAUUAUCAU